AUUGAACGCUGGCGGCAGGCCUAACACAUGCAAGUCGAGCGAGCGGCGGACGGGUGAGUAAUGUCUGGGAAACUGCCUGAUGGAGGGGGAUAACUGCUGGAAACGGUAGCUAAUACCGCAUACCAUCAGAUGUGCCCAGAUGGGACUAGCUAGUAGGUGGGGUAACGGCUCACCAAGGCGACGAUCCCUAGCUGGUCUGAGAGGAUGACCAGCCACACUGGAACUGAGACACGGUCCAGAAUCCUACGGGAGGCAGCAGUGGGGAAUAUUGGACAAUGGGGUCAAGCCUGAUGCAGCCAUGCCGGGGGUGUGAAGAAGGCCUUCGGGUUGUAAAGCACUUUCAGCUGGGAGGCGUUACCCACAGAAGAAGCACCGGCUAACUCCGUGCCAGCAGCCGCGGUAAUAC
rnacentral:rRNA from 1 species